AACUGAUACUACCUGCGGGAACCUGCGGAAGGAUCAUUAAUAGGCAUCGUCGAGUCUUUGAGUUAAGUCUUUGAAUUAUUUCAUAGACUCGACAUCCUGAUCAUUCCCUAUGUGCACUCUUAUAAUGCUUUGGUAGGUCUUUUAGACCUACCAAAAGUUUUAUCUAUCGCCUUAAUUUUUGUCUGAAGAAAUAAAAUAUAAUUUUGAAAUACAACUUUCAACAACGGAUCUCUAGAUCGG
rnacentral:misc_RNA from 1 species